AAGUCGUAGCAAGGUUUCCGUAGGUGAACCUGCGGAAGGAUCAUUAGUGAUUUGGCUCCGGCCUAAAUUCGAUCUCAACCAACCUCUGUGAACCGUGGCCCUCGGGCCGAUUUUUUAAACAUCAGUGUAUAGAAUGUAAACAUCAUAACAAAACAAAA
rnacentral:misc_RNA from 1 species